UUACAGGCAUGAGCCACCGCCGCUGGCCCAGGCACAGGUUUUUAUUUCUGUCUUUUGAGCAGGGCUGCAUUGUGACUUUUGUGACCCUAGACGCGUCUGCCUUCAUGGGCCCCUCCUACAAGAAUAGAUUUUCAUGGGUCGUAAAUAUUCUAUUUGUCUCUCAUGAAAGAAGAAAAUUAAACAUAUUUGUCUAACCUAAAAGUUUCUGUUUUCCCUGAUUUUGAAGGACAUGAGAAUAUUCUGUGGGUAUGGAAAAUGUUGUGGACCCUGCGUUGCUACAGUGCCUAAUGGAGAAGUCGGCACUGGUAUUGUGGAAAGAACAAAUAGGAUACGGAGCUCAGGCCUCCUGCUUCGAGGCUGAGGAAGGAUGUGGGACACUCCCCUCCUCUUCCUCCCUCAGUGCCUCCCCAACCCCCGGGUGCCCUUGGAGAUAAGAAGAAUGACAAUGAUGAUCUCACUGAGCCUUUACUACGUCCAAAGUGGGCUACUACACACCCUGUUUCAUUUACUCCCCACGGAGACUCUGUGAGGUUGGGACUAUUAUUCUUUCUACUUUGUAGGUGAGAAAACUGAUCCUCAGGGUAACUCUCGGCCACACAGCAGUGGAGGAGGUGGGGCUGCAAUGGGGACAGGAGAGGUGGAUGGGAGGGAGGAUGAGCCCAUUCUGCAGUAUGUUCUGGGCCCCAGAGGGCAAUAGCUGCUUAAAAACAGCUCAGAUUCACUGAGCACUUACACAUUGUCUAGAUGUGCAUUAAGCACCCACCUGUCGUGGGUGGCCUUAUCAGCCAUCGUCUUGGCUGCCAAGCCCCUGCUCUUGUGGACCCAUUGUGGGCUGCAGGGUGGCCCAGCCAGCUCAGGAGGCCCAGGGUUUUAGGGCUAGAUGGACAUUUUCUCUCGCCUUCCCUACCUUCCGUGGCACAGGAGAGCCGAGAGGAAGCCAGGAGUGGAGUCUUCAGCUGUCUCUGUCCUCUGUGGAUGUCCCCCUGCUCCCAUCCGUGAGGACUGGCCUGCGCUUUGUUUCUAUUGGAGGAAGAGAGUUUCUGAUUAAGUGGGCCUGGAGUAGGCCAGGAAUCUGCAUGUCUAACAAGUGCCCAGGUGAUGCUGAUGCUGACAGCCACUGCUGUGAUGUGAAAUUGGCAGUUAAGGAAGAGAAGUUGCCUGCUCUGAAGCACCGUGGUUGUGAAACAUCCUACAGUGAAAACAGGCGCAUGUAUGAUGGAGAGGACUAUGAGGCAGGUGUCAUCACUGCUAUGUUUCAGAUGGGCAAUGGCUCAUGAAGGAGAAGUAGAAUGCCUGAAGUCACAGCUACCUGGAGGGACAUCAACCCCAAUCUGAUUGCCUCUAAGUCGGGUGUUUUCUCACCGUCUAUGUUCUUUGGACUGGACAUCCAGCAUUGCCUCUCCCUUGCAGUUCUUGGGAUGGCCACUGUCCUUUACUGAUGAGCAAGCUGAACCUCAGAGGGCUUAGUGAUUGGCUUGAGGCACAGCUACCAAGGAUCAGUGACUGAGCCACAAAACCACCUCUUCUGAGAGUACUGCUUUCUUACCCGAGGAUGGCCCAUCAGGGUGAUCUGGAAGGCAGAAGACGGGAGUUUUUCCAUGAACUCACUGUGGUGGGGGUGGUCCUUGGAAAAGUACUGAGUACACAGAAGUGGCGACAGGCAAAUGGAGAUCCUGGAAAAGGAGGUUUUCUACCAAAAUAUCCUUGUGAACAUGAGGACAGCUUCCAAACUGAGAAAGAGUGGGCUCGAGAAAGCUCUAACACUUCCGUCCCUGACACGAAGUGCUUCGGGCUGUGUUUGGCAUCAAUAUGUCGGAGCCGUGGCAACGUUCUUCGUGCAUCCCCGCUUGGGCGUCAUUUUGUGAGUAGGACAAACCCCAUCAAUUCUUACCUCAUCUAUUAGAAAUGCAGCAUUGUGAAUGGAAGCAAUGUUUUCUGGGGCGCAUCACUGGAAAUGAAAACUCCUUCAUUUUUCUAUAUCUUUACUGAAUAGACCUAACUCUUCCCUUCAGCUUCACUAGAUGUGGAUGGCCCUAAAAUACUCUCAGGGAGACUAUCAAGAGAGAAAGAAUGUAGCUUUAAAAGCCAAUUAGAAAAUAUUCACAACAUAUGUAGCAAAGGGCUAAUGUUCUUCCUAUAGAAAGAACUCUUUCGGAUGGAUAAGAAAGAUACUAAGAUCUCAAAAGAUAAAUGAGAAAAGUAUAUGAAAAAGAAUUUGCAAAAGAAAUUCAAGUAGCUAAUAUUUAGUGAACACUUACUAUAUGCCAGGUAUAAUUUACAUGAGAUUUCUCGUUCAUUCUUUACAAAGACCCUAUGAUUUAGGUGUUAUUAUUCUCAUCCCUAUUAAAAGAUGAGAAAAAAAAUAAAGCUUUGAGAAGUUAAAUAAUCAUCCCAAGAUCACGCAUAUUGUAAGUGAGGGGCCAGGAUUCAAAAUCACGCAGCUUAAUCUAGCAGGCAGGGGCUCCUAACUGCUUUGCUGUAACCUCACAAAUUCACAGAUACAAUUGUAAAAUAAAGUUUUUUUUUUUUAAAGUUCACAU